AAAUUGUAUUAUAAUAAUUGUAAACAUUCCUUUAAAUACAUUGUUCUUAUACCAAAUACUGUGGUUACGUAUUAACGGGAGGGUAGUUUAUAAAAAAAACGCUGUCAACCUUAAGAUCACUCCCCACCGAGACCGAAGGUCGCGCCAUUAGGUCAGCGUUGUCCGUGCUUAGGUUAGCUUGCCAGUGCUGCUCGAAGUCUGCAGUGAGCCGGCUGCGAUGGACCUAUUGAGGCUGCGAUGCUGGCUUGCUGUGGGAUGACUGUUGAUCACUUGUUUUUAAUUGUGAGAGUGCGGGAGCUAUGUUAGUCGAUGUUGAUGCUGUAGCUGAAGAAGUUGUUGUAAUUGUUUCGUCUAUGGUCACCAGUUUCAGAGGUUUAACGAAAAAGGGAAGAUAUUCCAUCGACCUGGUGAUAUUGCUCGGUAGACCGACGAACCGAAUGUUGUAAUUUGGCACUUGUAACUAUGCAAACCUAUCUUGAAAAUGUCGUAAGCGAGUUUCAAACGUCUGUCAAAUAUCUUGUGUUUUAUGAUGGCUACCCGCCACACAUUUAUGAUGUAUACAAUAUGUUGCUGUCCUUCUCUGAGGUGAAGGACGAAAUAAAAAAAAAUCUAACUUGUGUAAAAUAAAAUAUCAGAAAAGGGCCGUCCACAUCCUCUUCGACCGGGCAUCGGAAAACGGGUUCCCCGCGCUAAAGAAAAAGGGUAGUCCACGUCGAAAAUUAUUUUUAUAUCAUGCGAUCUACGAUAUUUUUUUAAAUUAUUAAAAUCUUUUUUGGAAGAAAAAACAAACACUAAAAUACAAAAUUUUUUAUUUGUA